UUCCAUGAAUCCGAAACAGAACCUAUUCAAGAAAAAGACUCUCAUCAGCCUUGAAAUCUUUUAACUUCUAAGGCAAGAAAGUUCACAAACUUAGAUCUUACUUACAUUUUACAGAGAUGGGAGCAGCAACCUUCCUGGUGAGGAACUUGCCGGAGCUUCUCUUGGGGCAAGAAUAGAUUCUGGCUUUGGUGAACGGGACAAUAUCUUUAACACCAGAGAUUGAUCUUGAGUUGACUUCACUACUUAAUGACGUCCAUUUACAUGACAACAUUGCAAAAUUGAUCAUCAGUUGUCAAUGUCAUCACUCAUCAGCCUUAUACAAGUCAAGUUCUACGGAUCGCCUAACCAUAAGGAACUUCCUGAUUGAUUAGAAGAGCCUGUUUUGGGGACUAAGAAUCUGGAGAGCCUUCACCACCUCUUGAUGGUACUUCUCCAUGGAGAUAGAUCCAUAUGUGUUUCGAGAGGUUUCUUUCUUGUUACGCUACCUCUGAUGAUUUGCUUCGAAUUCUUUAACUAAUGAAAGACAUGGCAUCAGAUAUUUUUCCCUUAAC